rnacentral:rRNA from 1 species
AUUGAACGCUGGCGGCAGGCCUAACACAUGCAAGUCGAGCGAAGCGGCGGAUGGGUGAGUAACGCGUGGGUAACCUGCCCUUAAGUCUGGGAUAACAUUUGGAAACAGAUGCUAAUACCGGAUACAUAUGGAUGGACGUGCGAUGCAUUAGCUAGUUGGUAAGGUAACGGCUUACAAAGGCGAUGAUGCAUAGACGAGUUGAGGGACUGAUCGGCCACAUUGGGACUGAGACACGGCCCAAACUCCUACGGGAGGCAGCAGUAGGGAAUCUUCCACAAUGGACGAAAGUCUGAUGGAGCAACGCCGCGUUAGUGAAGAAGGUUUUCGGAUCGUAAAGCUCUGUUGUUGGUGAAGCGGUAAUCAACCAGAAAGUCACGGCUAACUACGUGCCAGCAGCCGCGGUAAUAC